rnacentral:rRNA from 1 species
GAUGAACGCUGGCGGCGUGCCUAACACAUGCAAGUCGAGCGGACGGACGAGGAUCUUGCUUUUCUGAUGUUAGCGGCGGACGGGUGAGUCACACGUGUCUAACCUACAUAUAAGACUGACAUCACGUCGGGAAACCUGAGAUCACACAGGUUAAGAUUUUGAAACGCAUGGUUCUUAAGUGCAAAACGUACUUGCUGUCACUUAUUGAUGGUACCGCGCUGCAUUAGCUAGUUGGUACGGUAACGGCCUACCAAGGCUACGAUGCAUAGCCGACCUGAGAGGAUGAUCGGCCACACUGGAACUGAGACACGGUCCAGACUCCUACGGGAGGCAGCAGUAGGGAAUCUUCCGCAAUGGGCGAAAGCCUGACGGAGCAACGCCGCGUGAGUGAAGAAGGUCUUCGGAUCGUAAAACUCUGUUAGUAGGGAAGAACAUAUGUGUAAGUAACUGUGGCCAUCUUGACGGUACCAAAUGAGAAAGCCACGGCUAACUACGUG